rnacentral:rRNA from 1 species
UACGUAGGGGGCAAGCGUUGUCCGGAUUUAUUGGGCGUAAAGAGCGUGUAGGCGGUUUGGUAGGUCCGCUGUGAAAACUCGAGGCUCAACCUCGAGACGCCGGUGGAAACCAUCAGGCUAGAGUCCGGAAGAGGAGAGUGGAAUUCCUGGUGUAGCAGUGAAAUGCGCAGAUAUCAGGAAGAACACCCGUGGCUAAGGCGGCUCUCUAGUACGGUACUGACGCUGAGACGCGAAAGCGUGGGGAGCGAACAGG